GGGCUUCCUUGAUUUCUGUCAACUCCGACCACGACCAGUUUCGUUAUGAUUAGACGAUUCGGAUACGCCUAAUAAACAAACCUAAUUUGCCUCGCGCGUUCAGUCAUCUCCUUCCUUCGUCUAAAACCUCACACAGAGACAGAGAUCCCCCAAAACCCUAAACGCCCAAAGUAUUAAUCACAAAGUUACGGAGCUGAAAUUGAAAACGUUGUCAUGGCUGCCUUAAAAAAUGUAAGCUUGAAAUUUUUUGUUUGUUUGUUUGGUUGAAAUUUUUUUAAUUUAGGUUCUGUUUGGUUGUUGAGAAAACUGAAUCAAAGAGGUUUUUUUGUUUGUUUGUUUGUUUGUUUUGUUUUGUUAAUUAUCUCGGAGACGUGGUUGAUUGUUGUGUUUCUGAAAAUUUGAAAACAGAAGAAGAACGUGUGUGUGAAGUCGGUUUCGACAAAGAAGCAGGCUAAUAUGGACCAUAUCACAAGGGAUAAAAUCCCAAGGAGGUUUGUGUUUUCCAGAUGCAAGUUGCCUGGUCCUUUGAAGCAGCUUCAAGCUGAUUUGAGAAACUGGUGCUUCCCUACACUGCCUUUAAGCUUAAGGUAUGCAAAUAUUCAUUCCGGUCUUAAUAUAUUUUGCAAUGCUUUAUGAUAU